UCAAAUAUGGACUAGCGGAUAGGAUUUCUGGUUUUCACCCAGACGGCCCGGGUUCGACUCCCAGUAUGGGAA
rfam:Nematostella vectensis strain CH2 x CH6 NEMVEscaffold_224_Cont19623, whole genome shotgun sequence.